rfam:Euryarchaeota archaeon RBG_16_68_12 RBG_16_scaffold_1454, whole genome shotgun sequence.
GGGCACGUCGGCUAGUCAGGAUUAGGCUGGAGGCCUUCGGAGCCUCCGACCGGGGUUCGAAUCCCCGCGUGCCCG